rnacentral:rRNA from 1 species
AGUGAACGCUGGCGGUAGGCCUAACACAUGCAAGUCGAACGGCAGCACAGUAAGAGCUUGCUCUUACGGGUGGCGAGUGGCGGACGGGUGAGGAAUACAUCGGAAUCUACUUUUUCGUGGGGGAUAACGUAGGGAAACUUACGCUAAUACCGCAUACGACCUACGGGUGAAAGCAGGGGAUCUUCGGACCUUGCGUGAUUGAAUGAGCCGAUGUCGGAUUAGCUAGUUGGCGGGGUAAAGGCCCACCAAGGCGACGAUCCGUAGCUGGUCUGAGAGGAUGAUCGGCCACACUGGAACUGAGACACGGUCCAGACUCCUACGGGAGGCAGCAGUGGGGAAUAUUGGACAAAGGGCGCAAGCCUGAUCCAGCCAUACCGCGUGGGUGAAGAAGGCCUUCGGGUUGUAAAGCCCUUUUGUUGGGAAAGAAAAGCAGCAGGUUAAUCCCCCGCUGUUCUGACGGUACCCAAAGAAUAAGCACCGGCUAACUUCGUG